rnacentral:rRNA from 1 species
GACAGAGGGGGCAAGCGUUGUCCGGAUUUAUUGGGCGUAAAGAGCGUGUAGGCGGCUUGGAAGGUCAGCUGUGAAAACUCGAGGCUCAACCUCGAGACGUCGGUUGAAACCACCUGGCUAGAGUCCGGAAGAGGAGAAUGGAAUUCCUGGUGUAGCGGUGAAAUGCGCAGAUAUCAGGAAGAACACCCGUGGCGAAGGCGGUUCUCUGGGACGGUACUGACGCUGAGACGCGAAAGCGUGGGGAGCGAACAGG